AACUUAUGACAUUUACGUUUCGAGUAAUUCGACAAAGGAUGUUUCUCCAAAUCUUGUCUGCUACUAUACUCGAACUUAGGGAUCAACCUCCUUUUGACAGACAAGAAAUUGACAGUCCCAAACCUUCCUUCACAUUCAGUCACCACUUACAGCGUACAAUCGACUGAUUAGUGAUUUUGAAGUACUGUACAUUUCGAGCCUGUAAAGGGGGCAUACACCUGGUACAUCGAUUGCUUCCUGUUUACUUGUACGCUUCCCCUUAACCCAUGAUUCGGCUGCUUUCAGAUCUCUGGGUCUAUCCGAUCCCGGCUUGUCAAAACUAGUCAACAGGAUGGAUAUAUGCACAGCCGAGUUGCCUCUCGAGUGCCAGAUCGGAAAUUAGAACAAAAAACCAAUCCAAAAGUUUCUAAAACCCACAGAGUAUCUAAAGCAGAUACCGGAGACUCAUCAAUUACAAUACCAUGAGGCAGCCAAUUUAAGGAGCAGCUUUAGAAAGCUGACUGGACCAAAUUCUAGAGCACAGCUGGUAAUACCAAGGCCUGCAAGUUCUUGCAACCAUAAGCUCUCGC
rnacentral:sRNA from 1 species